AGACGUCUGGAGGAGGUGAGAAGAGGAAGGAAGCAGAAGAUGAGAGUGUUGACAGAGCGUGCAAAGCGAAGAGAAGAAACUUCAACAGUAAAUGGCAGACAGGCCGUGAAUGGCUUGUGUUUGACAAUGAAAAUGCAGUAAUGUUUUGUAAAAUUUGCCGAGUGUACACGAAAGAAAAAAACAAAACUAACAGUUUUGUGGUGGGGACUAAUAAUUUUAAAAUCGAGGCUGUAAAGGACCACGAGAAAGCUCGAAGUCACCAGGAAAGCCUCCAAAUGAAGAUUGCUAAGGCAGUUCCAGUUGAAGAGUGUUGCUGGGAAAAGCCUCUCUUCACUCAGAAGUUUGGAGUUGGAAAAGAUGCAGCUUCUUUUUAGAAAUGCUCAUGCCAUCGCAAAAAGGGAAGGCCUUUCACCGACUUUGCAUGGAUGUGUGAGUAAGUAAAUCAAUCAUUCCAUUUACAUGUUUCAGAAUCAGUGCAUUUAAACUGAUACAGAGUGAUGAUGUACACGCCUUUACUGACACAGAUGAAAUGUUAUGCUUGAUUUCAAAAAGAAAAAAGAAAAGAACUCAGUAACUGAACUCUGCACUAACUUUGGCUUCAUUCACAUGAUUAAUUUAGGGUGGACAGGAAGAAAGGCUUGAAGAUAGGAGAGACAUAUACAAAUGACCACCAAGCAAAAUAAUUCAUACACUACAUAGCAGAGGAUGAGAGGAGAAAAAUGAAGACAAGACUAUUAGAUGGCAAGUUCAUGUCAGUCAUGUCAGAUGGAUCCCUGGACAGUGCAGUGAUGGAAGAAGAAAUUGUUUAUGUCAGGAGUGCCAGUGAAGGAAAAGUUCAAGUUGACUUUGUUGGGGCUAAAUCAGUCUCAAAGCCAGAUGCUGCAAAUAUAGCUGAAGCUGUGUGCGGUAUGUUGGACAGUGAAGUCAGCACUGAUUGGAAGAAGAAGCUGGUUGCCAUCACGACUGAUGGAGCAUCUGUAAUGACAGGAGUAAACAAUGGUGUUGUUACAAAACUGCGUGGAGACAGAUGUUACGUGCUUGGAAUCCACUGCAUGGCCCAUAAGCUUGAACUCUCCUUUUCGGAUGGAAUAAGGAAGAAUGUGAUGGUCAGGAAAGUUGAGGACCUGUUGAGUGGACUCUACACCUUAUAUCAUAAGAGUGGCGUAAACAGGGCCAGCCUAAAGGAUCACUUCAGGGAGCUUCACCUGAAGCCUUUGAUGCCAACCAGAAUAGGUGGAACCCGGUGGCUCCCACAUUUCUUCAAUGCACUUGAUCAUUUUCUCAGGGGAUAUGUUGGCUUUGUCCACCACUUAGAGGAGAAGGUAUGUUAAUUUACAGCCUACUAAAACUAGUGUAGAUAGAUACAAUCUUCUCUAAAUCUGAUACUCAUUAUCAUCAGUUUUAAUGCGGUCUGUGGCUGUGAUAUAAUUUAGUUUGUUUGUCUGUAGUCCCAAAAUACCAAGAACACCAAUGCAGUUCUGAGGGCAAAGGCCAAGGGGUUCCUCAACAUAGCCAAGGAUGGUGGGGUGCUCAGGUUUUGCUGCCUUCUCCAUGACACCAUCUAUCAACUGAGCAGCCUCUCCAAGUCACUGCAGAGGUCCGUGUCAACCCUGGCUGAAGCUCAGAGUUGCCUGUCUUCUACUCAAGCUGCCAUUCAAAAGUACAAGUCAAGACCUGGGCCUAAGCUGAGAUCAGUGCUGGACACAGACACAUAUGAGGGAGUCCUUCUGAAGCCUUCUGAUGCUGGCCAGCACAACAAGGCAAAGAACGAGUUGAUCGGUUCUCUUUGUCAAUGCAUCACUGCGAGAUUUAGUGAUGUGAACAGUGGUGUCCUGCAUGCUAUGCGACUGACCAGUUUCCAGUGCUGGCCAGAGGCAGACACGAGUUUCGAUUUUGGUGAUGAGGAGAUAAACAAGCUCACAAGUCACUUCCGACCUCUUCUGCUGUCUGCUGGAGUGGAUGUGGACUUGAUCCCUGAUCAAUGGACAAUUCUUAAGGCUGAACUGUACACAGCAGGAUUUAGCCAAGGAACUUUUGAGAAAACCUGGCCUACUGUGAACAGAAUGCUGCGCCAA